CCCAGGUCACAGUUUAUGCUCUUGCUGUGCCACCUUGAGAUCUCCAUAGAUGGUCGUGUACCUUUUAUAGUUCCACAGCUCCUCACGUUUGUUUAGUGCCUUCAAUAGAUUGACUUUUUUAUUUCCUCGGUAAGCGAGAGUUUGGGUUUUUCUUUCGUUUCCUAAUCCGCUCGCUCAGUUUUGCUGGAGCAUUUUCUAUUUUUCUCUCUUCAGAGAAGUUUUACGUUUCCAGGGUCGUCCCUGCGUUUUUUGUUGGACCAAUAAAAACUUCUACUGAACCUUAACUCUGCGUCCGAGUCCUCACCUCAAGACCCCCGUGACACGAUUCCACUUUACCAGCCACACAGCUUUAAAGGAUCAGGAAGCAUAUUUCAAACUGAUGACAAAAACAUGGCUUGAGUGGAAUGCCUGAAAAAAUGCUUGCUUUAUUUCUGCUGAUGUUGUGUUAAAAUGUGAAUUAAGCAAUAGGAGCACUAUUGGUUGGAGUACAAAGUAAAAAAAUGCAAUUCUAUGUGAGUGACGCAAAUAUCCUUGUUAAAUAUGUUAAAUGCUUGAAACCAAUGAAUUCUUCUAACUAGCCACGCCUGGUUGCAAAUAAACCUGCGCUGUUUCGUGGUGAAAUGUGCUACAAUAAAAUGUGACAAACUUUAUCUUUGCUGUUGACUAAAUACUGAGGCAGCAUUCCUUUAAACACACGUAAAGAUUCAGCAGCAGAGUGGCGCCGUUUGUGAUCUUGGCCGUGUGCAAACCUCAUUUGCCCACUGUUUAGACAUCCCAGUCGUCAAUCUUCAUAUUUUGAUAAAUAGCUGCAGGGGAGGGCGGGGGGGGCAGGCAUGUCAUAUUUCAUGAGUAGCCAAGUGGUGAGAGAAGGGGGCAUCUGUCCACCCUGCACAGGCUACUCCUCAAAUAUUAAUAAUGAUAAUGAGCAAAGGGCUGACCGGGGCACACAACACGCGUCCCCCUAUUAGAAUAACCCCUGAAACUAUGUCUCACACACACACACAUCCGCAGAUGCACUCAUGUGAAUGUGGACAUGUGACCAUGACAAUGUGACAGGCAAUAUGCACACAUAUGGGCCCGCAAAUGCAUGAAGGCCAACAAAGAUAAAGUGAUAAAGUGAGAGUGUGCAAACGCACACAAAUGGGACAGAUAUGCAAAUGCCCAAAGGGCAUUAGGAACCCGGGCAGAAGAUUCCCCUCUGACCAGAGAGCCCAUACUCUUCAUCAACGCCCGCCCCCCUCCUGCAUACCCUCCUGACCCAUGUCACAUAGAAUCAACCUCCCAGUCCAACACACACACUCCCUUCUUGUUCCACACACCACGUCCCCCCCACCAACACACGGUGUUUGUUUCUUCCAUGCAUCCACACACACACACAAUGAGACAUUCACCCCUGGACCCCGUCGGUCAUUAGUAUGGAGGUCUGUCUGUGUUUGUUUGGCUUCUAAUGGACCAUUUAAAUGCAGAAUAUUCACAGCAGAAAGGGCCAUCCUCGGGGACGGUGCACACAGAGGCCAGAAUAUGCUCUGGCUCCAUUAUCCUGGAGGAAGUUAUCCUUAUUAUCAUCACACAAUGCCGCGCUGACUGGCAAUGAGUUACAGCGCCCUGGCCCUCGGCUGACUCUCACUCGGGGCAGCGCAGUGAGCCGAGCGGGUUUGACCACCAGAGCUCACAGCACCUGCAACACUGACUCCUCAUUGUCAUCUACUUACGUUAUUUAUUUUCCUCUACGAAAGGUACAAUUUUGGACGUUUUCUUCUUUUGCAACAUGUACAGUACUUGCUAGAUCAGUCUCUGGAGUUCAAUGUGAUGUUUCACAGCGAUUUAAACAAUAAAGGAGUAGGAAAAUGCAAAGACAUUUCUGAGUGCUCUGAUUCUCAGGGGGAUUUUCUUUUCAUGUAAACACACGUGUAAUUGCAAAAUGUUUGCUUUCAGCAGUUCACCAUCCAACAAAUAUUCCUAAAUAAAAACAUUCAGGAAUGAGCCUUUGCAUAACUUCCAUUCCCAGGAUUACAGGAGAAGGAUUACACCAUAAAUAUAAUUCAAAUAAACGUUGAGCGUAUGCUACAGGGAGAUCUUUCUAUGAUAGAAAAAUAAACUCUACUGUCAAAUGGUGUCAUUUGUAUUUAUAAUACUUUUAUAUUUUUUAACGUUGUAAAAAGUGUCUGAGUGAGGGAGUAGGUGUUGCUGUCCACACAACUUCUUCCAGGGCAGAAUACGUCCAUUUCUCUCUCUGUCCUGCCUCAUGAAAAUGAAAAGGGACUUUGGCGUGAGGCCGAGCACAGUGCUAUGUAUAUUAGCAUUAUGUUUUAGUUUGAUAUGUGCAUCUGUAGAUUGUGUCUCAGGGUGUGUGUGUUCAGUCGGGUGCUACACAUAUGCCUGUAUGAGUGUGUAUUGUGAAUCAAUGCAUACGUCUGUGUGUGUAAACAAAGUGUGUAAAUAUGCAUAUACUGUACAUUUAAGCGUGUGUGUGUUCAGUGCUCUCUUGGGAGGCUGGUGGUGGUAGUGGAGAGGGGGAGGGCUGGAAAGAGGCUGCUGACACAGCGGGAGGCUACAGAUGUGGGGCUACGGAGCUGACAGGCCGGGCCCCUCUGGGCGUAUGUGUGCCAACCUCAACCCCUAUUGCUCUGCAGAACUUCUCUCUGCAGUGUGGGGGGCAACGUUGAGAUGGAGGGAGAGAAUCUACAGUCAAAAUGCAGAAAUGAGGAAAUACAAUUAACAAUCUGUAAUCCUCAUAUUUUAUUUUAUAUAUCAUCCGAGAGCAGUUGAUACAGGUACAUUGAAAAAAUAUAAAAAAUAAGUUGAUGCAAAGUUAACUUUGCAUCAAACGGGGCGACGCGGUGGCGUGGUGGUUAGCACUGCCGCCUCACAGCAAGACGGUCCUGGGUUCGACUCCUCCCAGUGGCCUUUCUGUGUGGAGUCUGCAUGUUCUCCCCGUGUCUGCGUGAGUUCUCUCCGGGUUCUCCGGCUUCCUCCCACAGUCCAAGGACAUGCUCUGUGGAUCAGGCUGAUUGGUAACUCUAAGUUGCCCGUGUGAAUGUGAGUGCAAAUGGUUGUAUGACUCUAUGACUGGCUGUGUUAGCCCUGUGAUUGGCUGGCGACCAGUCCAAGGUGUCCCCCGUCUCUCGUCCGAAGUUGGCUGGGAUUUACUCCAGCCCCCCCGCGACCCUGUGUGCAGGAUAAGCGCUUUGAAGAUGAUGGAUAGAAUAUACCGGUAGGCCAGCUGUAAGAGUAAUUCAAUAUUAUCCUGCAGGCCAAAGAUAAUUUCACUGUGGGCUUUGAGUUUGACAUGUGCAAAUAGAGCAUUGGCCAAAUCCUGAGAGUAUGAGACAAAAGGGUAUGCAGGAGAUUUUCAAUUGACAAGAAUCCCUGUCCAACCCAGUAAAGUGGAGAAAGAAGGUAAUAUUCCCAAGGGAGCUCUCAAGCUUAAGGCACAGUAUUACCAACAAAACAUUCCAGUAAAAAUCUUUGUUCAGAAGUUAAAGAAGAACAGAGCCAGAACAUAUGUAUAUGGUUGGCAGAGGUCACAGAUCGUCAGACACCCUUUUAAAUCUUACAUUGGUGUGGCUUGGUAUUUUAAAACCCUUAAACGUGGAGUGGAGAGGGAGCGCUGGGAACUGCAAGGUUGGCGGUCUAGGCCCUGGCUGCUCCAUGUCCCAUGUUGAAGUGUCCCUGAGCAAGACACCUAACCCUAAAAAUAAAAGUCAUGGGUUAAAAUGCAAUGUAAGUUGCCUUGGAUAAAAGCGUCAGCUAAAUGACCUGUAAUGUAGUAAAUGAUGCAUGAGCACAUGUAUAUUACUAUCUUAGUCUGCAUAAUGGGUUUUAUAUAUGUUUCCUGUGUGCAAAGCUGAAGAUCCCUUGCAGUGUGUCCAGAACACAGCAUUGUCUCUCUAUAAUAAGCCUGAGUUCACAGUGAAGUAUAUUGGUAAAGGAUGUACUUAAUACACACCGAGAGGUUUAUGUACUAAUGAAUCGAAACUUGCUAAGUUUAGCUCAUCCUUCAACAAAGUCAUUUCAAAUUAGUGUUAUAGACAUGACAGGUUGGGAAACUUCCGUUGUCAUGGUAAUUAACAGUACAUUGCAUUUAGUAUCAACUGAAAUACAACAGUACUGACAGCUGUUGAUGGCUCAGUAAUUAUAUCAAACAUUGUUGUUAGCAGUAAUGAUAUGAUGAUAACAGAACAGAAAGUUAUAGAAACUAAAUUUUGUACUGUUAUUUAACACCCCAGUUUUCCUGAAGACUCCUUCAUGUGGCUGAUUGCAGACCAGAGGCCACAGCUGUACUAGUUGAUUAGUAUAAUUACAGACUGUGUUACAAGGGGGCAAGAUUUGAGAUCAGAUAAGGAGUUGCAGUUAUCCAAAAACUGACACCAGUUUAGUAUUAUAAUAUACAUUGGAACUAACUAACUAACUAACUAACUAUGGUCUAGUCUUGCUGGACUUUCUAUGCAGCCUCUACAACAGCCGGUAGAACGUGAAAACUAUUACAAUGUGCAUGCCCAAUCAGUGUUAAUGGUAAUAGAAGCAAUACAUGAUUCUGCAAGAGCUUUUGACGAUCAGGGCACAUAACCACCCGUAGCUUCUGCCUCUGUCCACUUGUUGGCCGAUACACUAUUACUAGCUAAAUAUUGUGAUAUGAUAGGCAGAUGCAUUUUGGUGGCUUUAUCUGCUAUAAAAGCACGUAUGAGUCAAGUUUGUCCUGGCAGCUAACUCAGAGGCCCAACUGAUAAUCCAUCUUUUAGUUUUUUGCUUCUAUUUUUUAAACUUAAAUCACUGUCUCACAUAUGUAUUAGUACUAACACACAUCACCACACUCUACACUAUCUGGGGAUUAUUAAAAAAUAUAUGAAUAAUACAUGAGGAGUCUCUUUUCUCCCUUGGCUCCCACCAGUGCCUCUUAUUGGUUUUGGCACACCACCACUCAUUCACCCUCAGCCUGUCUGCCUGUCUAUGUAGAUGUGGGACCUAAACACAGGACACACCUCCAACAAUCAGACCUCCUUUUCCCUCAUAAAAAGUAGAUCAGUCCAGGCCCCGGACAACGGCAAUCACAUUAGCAAAGCCCUUUCUGAUGGAAACAGGCCAAGAUUGACGAGAAGGGCGACAUUUUGGGAUGCUCAAUCAAACACGUGAACAGAUGCAUAUUGUUGUCGCAAUGAGUCUUUCAAGGCUAGAAACCAUACUAAUAUUAAUAGUUUGUUGUCCUAGUUAGACCAACAAAUAUAUUUUUGUUGAGACUUUUGGAAAAAAAUGUCCUCAUUAGCGCAAGUUGACUAUUGCAACCCUGGCAAAAAAUUCACCCCACACUGUCUUGGGGUGGCAAAAGCCAGUCAGCGUUGUGAUGCUCUGCUGCCACUCACCAGAAAAAGAGGUGCUCCCCAGCUGAGAUUGAACGCCUGUAGUGGGGUCCAACCAAAAGAUCGUGGCACCGAUCUGAUGAACCCAAACACGAGGGCAUUUGCGGUUCUGACGUUUGUGGAAUUUCCACAACAAGCACCGAGCAGGAAUAGUGGGAAUUUCCAUGGUGAAUAGCAGAAAUGAUAAUAAAUUGCCACAGGGAUAAUCCACGGCCCCUUUCCAGGGCGAGUGAAGCGAAUGAUGCAGAUUAACCACAAAUAGUUGGGUAAGUAAACUCACGCAAGUAAAGUGUUGAACAAAUUUGCUUUGUUUUUAGUGUGAUUGUACCUUAAGAAUUGUAUUUGGUAACGGAUGUCACUGGUAAUUAAAAAAGAAAAAAGAUCCAUAUUAAGUUACCAAAGCAUAGUUAUAGGCAUUUUGCUCAAAUUUGUUGGGUACACCAAUUACCUCCGAUCUUCAACAAUAUUUUUAAUAUAUGAGUCAGCCUAGAAUUAUAUAGUAUCAACAUACAAAGGUCAUUGAGCACUAUACCAAUGCAGUGUCCUGCCUAACAUUACAGCUGCUCGAAGGGAGUUUAAACAAACAAUUAUGGGACCACUAGAGGGCUACUUCAAUAAAUAAAUAUAUAUAUACUGUAUAUGUAUAUUUCAAUCCGACGUGUUUGCAAUAAGCCAUUCAUCAAACACUCACUUUAUAGUCUACAUGGUUUUUUCAGCAACCAUCAUAAUCUUUGCUCAUUUACCUCAAUAAUAAUAGUCAUAAAAAGCUAUUCCCCUCCCUCACCUAGGACAGUCGGACAUUCUCUCAUUGUCCUAUUCAAGUAUACACAAAUCUUUAAAUGUUAGGAACUGUUGUUGGAACUUAAUCAUUUCUGUUGAAGGAGCGGCAUAGUCCAGUGUUCUAACUUAAACUUUUUCAACCAAUUCCUUGCUCUGAAUGAACAUAGUCGCCAACAUAACCUUGUCCGACCCGGGAAAGGGACAUAAGAAUGCUUAGGAAACGAAGCAUGGUCAUUCUAAAAUGUAAAUAGGGGGAUUUUUUCUCUGCCGAUGUGAGGGUUUCAGGACAGGGGGUGUCGCCUGGGUGCAGAGUGUAAAGCCCUCUGACAUCAAUUUUAAUUUUUAAUUUUGGGAAAUACAAUUAAAUGAAUUGAAUAGGAUAUACAAUAACUCUUUUUGAAGGGGAGAACGUUUCCCCCCUAAACAACUACUGAUAAGGAAAUAUUACACCUAACACGAUAUUAUAGGUAUGAUCAAAAAAUCAUUUAUAAUGAAUCCUAACGGUUUUUCACCCAGAUUACAGUCGCUUUAAAAAUUGCGCAGACAGAGUGAAAUACAAAUGAAAGAAACUUAACAAACCAUGAUCUGGAGAACCAUUACCUUAUAGUGGUGGAGAGUUUUGUGUGUUCCAAUGAACCUGAGGGUUGUGUUGUCUGGAGCCUUGUGCUCCAGCUAGGGUUACCGUUGGCAAAGUGGUCUCAGUCGAGGGGCCAGACUAAAGCCUAGUUUAUGCUUCUGCGUUUUCAGAGCAACGCAGACGCAAGACCCUCUUGCGUGUCCCUUGCGUCGCUUUUCACACCUCCUUGCGUCCUUGCGUGUGUCGAGCCAUUCUUCUAGGCUUGCGUCGGAAGCGACGCAAGCAACGCAAGCCUCCCGCAGCGCACCAGGCUGCGAUUGGUCCGCUAACUACGUCCUUUACGGAGUCUCACAUUUCCGCUUUCAUAGCCCGAUACUGCCAUUAUUAAAACGAAGAAUGUUUACGAGAGAACGGAUCAGAUUGAAGAACUUUUGUCGGAAGAAAUGCGUAAAUAUGAGCGCUUCUACAAGCCGUCAUUGGCGGGUUGUGGAAGCGGGUUGGAUUCACAGAGGGAGAUCGCCGCAAACGCUGGUUUG
ensembl:lncRNA